AUUGAACGCUGGCGGCAGGCCUAACACAUGCAAGUCGAGCGGAGCGGCGGACGGGUGAGUAAUGCCUAGGAAUCUGCCUGGUAGUGGGGGAUAACGUCCGGUAACGGGCGCUAAUACCGCAUACUAUCAGAUGAGCCUGGGUGGGAUUAGCUAGUUGGUGGGGUAAAGGGCUACAAAGGCGACGAUCCGGAACUGGUCUGGUAGGAUGAGCAGGCACACUGGAACUGAGACACGGUCCAGAGUCCUACGGGAGUCAGCAGUGGGGAAUAUUGGACAAUGGGCGAAAGCCUGAUCCAGCCAUGCCGCGUGUGGGAAGAAGGUCUUCGGAUUUUAAAGCACUUUAAGUUGGGAGGCGUUACCAACAGAAUAAGCACCGGCUAACUUCGUGCCAGCAGCCGCGGUAAUAC
rnacentral:rRNA from 1 species